rnacentral:lncRNA from 1 species
UUUGAUAUAUUUUUUUAUGUGAGCACGGUGUUGUUUUCCUUUUGCAUGAAUAUGGCAUUAGCAUUCAAACCUUAGGCUCAACAUAUACUCUCAUCUUCCUCUGCAACCACAUACCUUCAACUACUUGAAGCUGCAUACUGUUUCCAGAGGGAGAAUUGCAAGUUCCGAUCACAUUCAAACAUUAGGGGCACCUUCUCAUAGUGCCUCACACCGCAUUGUUUGGACAUGUGAAUUCCAACUGUAGAGUCAACCGCCUCGGUGCAGUGGCUAGAUAGUUUCAGGACCCAGACUUUCAAUACUUUUAUGAGAUGUUCGUGUUCACGCUGGUUGCUCGCAUAAUAUUUGUUCUUUUGACAAGUUCAUGCAGUAUACUAACCAAGUACAUAACUUGCAGACCUUUGGCCUUUACUUUAUGAUUUGAUUUGGGAAGCCGAGUUAUCUAUAUUGAACACAUUUUUUUGAAGGAUGGUUGAUACAUGUCUACACAUUUUGUCAGAGCAAUUUGCGAUGAAAGAAGCAGCCUCAAACUGAUAAGAAGGCAAUAUUUAUUUCUAUGAAGUAAUGGUUAUUGUUGUAGAUCAAGGAUGAUAAGAAGGCAACUAAUGUACUAGGAGGUACAAGUACUACAACAUACUACAUACAUUAAGUUUAUUGUUUCUCUCUCGGAAAUAUACAUAGAUCAUUUUGAGCCUUGACUAGAGCGCCAGAUUUAUGCCUGAACUUAUAACAUUGGUGCUAUAUACAUCCAUUUGAGGGACAAGCUUUUUCGGACGGUGGGAGUAACAUUUUGUAUCUCGUUGAUAAAAUUGAACUCCACAUACUGUAGUUCAUAAUUAAAAAUAUGAAAAUGACACAACAUGAUCUGAAGCGCACAUACAUUGCUUGGGAGUUAACAUACACAUAUCAGUUUGGUGUUAUCCCUUUGGUGGUCACAAUCUGAAGAUAACAUGGCAUAAACUGAACUUCACAUACUACAAUUUAUUUGGUCAGAAGUUGUACAUUUUUGUUCUACUUCAUCAGACAACAUACAAACACAAUUAUUUGUACAAUUAUUUUCAAACUUUGAAGAUCACAUCAGCUAACUUCCUAUUAGAACAAAUACAAGUUCAGAUUGGCUGAUCCUACUACAGGUUCAUGCAUGUAAGAUGUUGAAUAAAAUUUGUAGAUUUGCCUGCCAUGGUGAAAUGCUUAUUCUAUGUAUAUCUAGAUAUGUCUGCAUGAUGAUUCCUUUCAGCAUUUUAUAAAUUUGACCGCAUGUAUGAUAGAACUAUUUUAUGUGUGUUAUGGACAUAUGUCAUAAACACUCGAUUCUUAUGCUUCUCUUGGCUGCCAAUCUCCCUAUGAGAGCUUCAAAGCACUUGAGCUGACUGCACUUUCUUCCAAAUUCUUGUAGAGUAUUUUUAGGUAAUCAGCAACCUAAUACGCAUGGAUGUGAUGACUUUGAAGUGUUAUGGAGCAUUUGGAUGUCUGCAGUAUUUUGGACCAGCCAACUCAAUUGUAAUCAUGAAUCGUGUUACAGACCAUUUGCUGCUUAAGUGUUAUGUAGUAGAGAUCUUGUGCUCAUGGAUGUGACUCAAGUGUUUUGGACCAUUUAGUGUUUGAACUAUAUAUUUUAGACCAGCAAAUAGGGGCCUUUUAUGUGACUUGUGUUUUCUGGAUGGUUGCCAAGAUGGCCAAACUUUGCUUUGUGAAGAUUGACUUGUGUUUGAACCUGUGCACAAUAUAUAUAUAUAUAUAUAUGUUUGUAUUUUUGUUACCAUAUUAUCAAUGAUUGUGCAAUUUGUGUUCAUCUUGAUCCCAUUUUGUGCAUCAUCAUUGAAAAUUGCAUAUAACAUUUGAAUUAGAGCAGUAUCCAAUUGUUGUUUUGGCUGUGCACCAUCUUACCAACAAUUUAUAUGUCAGUAAAAACAUUCCAACGCGGAAAGUGUUGCCAAAAGUAUGCC